rfam:Aedes albopictus isolate Foshan contig49049, whole genome shotgun sequence.
GGCUCGAUAGCUUAGUUGGAAAAACACUUGUCUAGCAAAUAAGGGUCGUGAGCUCAAAUCUCACCUGGCUG